CCUCCUCCGGCUCCCGUUCCUCUGACCCGCGGAGCCCAGAGCCGGCUCCUCUUCCUGCUUCGGAGGACGGAGACGCCGUCCCAGGCAGCCGGCUGCUCCUGCCCGGAGUGGCUCCGGGACGGUCGGAGCGCAGGAUAUACUGGUUUGGGCUCCAGCCAUGGAGAAACUUUAUGGGCACAUGUCUGCCCACCCAGACAUCCUCUCCUUGGAGAACCGAUGCCUAGCCAUGCUCCCUGACUUGCAGCCCCUGGAGAAGUCAUGUAGGCAUAUGUCCACCCGUCUAGAUAUCCUCUCCGUGGAGAACCAGUGCCUGGCCACACUUCCUGAUGUGAAGAUCAUGGAGAAACCACAUGGACAUGUGUCUUCCCACCCAAAUAUCCUUUCCUUGGAAAAUCGGUGCCUGGCCACACUUCCUGAUGUGAAGAUCAUGGAGAAACCACACGGACAUGUGUCUUCCCACCCAGAUAUCCUUUCCUUGGAAAAUCGGUGCCUGGCCACACUUCCUGAUGUAAAGAUCAUGGAGAAACCACACGGACAUGUAUCUGCCCACUCAGACAUUCUUUCCUUGGAGAACCGGUGCCUGGCUACACACUCUGUUCUAAAGAGCACUAUGUCUGCCAGCUCCUUUCCCCAGUGUGUCCACACAUCUCAGCCGGUGCAAACCUGGAGGACUCAGUGUUUCUCUGAGGGACCAGGCCCUCCGACCUGCCCCAGAGCCCUGAAAUCCAUCUCUGCCACACGGGGAGCUCAGGAAACAGCUUUGGGUCAUUGGUCCUCUUCAGAAGACAAAAAGCCAGGGGAGAAGAAAUGGACAGAGAUUCAAAUGCCUUUUUACAGUCUAAGCUUGGGAGAGGAGGAGGAGGUGGAGGAACUGGCCUUGAAGCUCACCCCUGGAGACUCCGAGUCUUGGUCUGAGCCCACUGACCAGGUCCUUCAGGAGAAGAAGAUGGCUCUAAUGAGCUUGUUGUGCUCCACUGUGGCAUCAAAGGUAAACAUGAAAGAUGCCGCCAACCCUACCAAGACUGCCCUCCUGGAAAUCUGUAGGGAACUUGCCCCCUUGGAGCCUGAGUUUAUCCUUAAGGCAUCUCUGUAUGCCAGGCAGCAGCUGAACAUCAGGGAUGUAGCCAACCAAGUCUUGGCCAUUGCUGCCUUCUUGCCAGUCUGCCGCCCUCACCUACGACGAUAUUUCUGCGCUAUUGUCCAGCUGCCUUCUGAUUGGAUUCAGGUAGCCGAGUUUUACCAGAGCCUGGCUGAAGGAGAGGAGGACAAGCUGGUGCCCCUGCCUGCCUGCCUGCGUGCUGCUAUGACUGACAAAUUCACCCAGUUUGAUGAGUACCAGCUGGCCAAGUACAACCCUCGGAAGCACCGGGCCAAGAGAUGCCCCCAGCAACCCCCCCGGUCUCCAAAGACGAAAUAUACAUUUUCUAAGAAAAUGAAGGAUUUGCCAAUAUUUAAUCUUCUUAAAGAUGAACAGGAGAAGUUUGAGAAGUCUUACAAUGCAGUUCCAGAGAGAAAGAAGCCCCCAAGGUUCACCCUGAAGAAGUUGGUACAGCGACUGCACAUCCAGGAGCCUGCCCAGCACGUGCAAGCCUUGCUAGGCCACAGAUACCCCUCCAACCUGCAGGCCUUUUCUCGAAGUCGCCUCCCCGGGCCAUGGGAUUCUAGCAGAGCUGGGAAGCGGAUGAAGCUAUCUCAGCCCGAGACCUGGGAGCGGGAGCUGAGCUUGCGGGGGAACAAAGCAUCUGUCUGGGAGGAACUCAUUGGCAAUGGGAAGCUUCCCUUCAUGGCCAUGCUUCGGAAUCUGUGCAACCUGCUGCGGGUUGGGAUCAGCACCCACCACCACGAGCUUGUACUGCAGAGACUCCAGCAAGCGAAGUCCGUGAUCCACAGUCGGCAGUUUCCGUUCAGAUUUCUUAAUGCCCAUGAUUCCAUCAAUGACCUUGAGGCUCAGCUAAAAAAUAAAGAAUUGCCAUUUCCUUCCAACACACAACUGAUGAGACGGAUAAUGAUUAGACACUCUAAAAAUGUCCAGAGACGGUACGAUAAAAGGCAACUUCCAAACCUAAAACGUCGGGAACUUCGGGCAGUCCUGAGGGUGCCCGUGUUUUAUGAGCAACUCAAGCGAGAGCAGCUAAGAGUAUACAGGAGCAGAGAGUGGAAAUACGACAGUGAGAUGCUGGCUCGAUAUCGACAGGCCCUGGAGACAGCUGUGAACCUCUCGGUGAAGCACAGCCUGCCCCCGCUGCCAGGCCGCACCCUUCUGGUCUACCUCACAGAUGCGGAUGCAGACAAGAUCUGUCCCAAGAGCAACCUAGAAGGGCCCCCCUUGAACUACGUGUUGCUGUUGAUGGGCAUGAUGAUGGCGCGGGCGGAGCACUCGGACCUCGUGCUGUGCGGAAGAGGUGCUCUGAAGCCUGCGGUGAUUAAGGCAGAAGAUGGCAUCCUGAAGACUGCCCUCGCACUCCAGGCUCAAGUCCAGGAGUUAGAUGGAGACUAUGAAUGUUCCCUGCAUACUUUGGGGAAACACCUGCUGUCUCUGGCUGCACAGAGGGUUCCUGUGGACAGGGUCAUCGUCUUUGGCCAAGCUAUGAAUGCAAAUCUGAUAAACAAGGCCAAACAGCUUUUCUGGCAGCACGUGAAUCCCAAGUGCCUCUUUGUUGGUGUUCUCCUAAAGACGUGUGACAGAUUUCGAGAUUUGAAUCCCAAUGACGUGACACUCUCAGGCUGUACUGACGGGAUACUGAAGUUCAUUGCAGAGCGUGGGGCCUCCCGUCUUCUAGAACAUGUGGGCCAAAUGGACAAAAUAUUCAAGAUUCCCCCAACCCCAGGGAAGACAGGAGCCCUAGCUAUCCGGCCACUGGAAGAGAAUACUCCAAGCCCCAUGGCUCCUAUUUCCCAGCCUCGAUGGCACAGCAUCCGGAUUUUCAUUUCCUCUACUUUCCGGGACAUGCACGGGGAGCGGGACCUGCUGCUGAGGUCUGUGCUACCAGCAUUGCAGGCCCGAGCGGCCCCCCACCGCAUUAGGCUUCACGCCAUCGACCUGCGCUGGGGUGUCACUGAAGAGGAGACCCAUAGGAACAGACAACUGGAAGUGUGCCUCGGGGAGGUGGAGAAUUCGCAGUUGUUUGUGGGAAUUCUGGGCUCCCGCUAUGGCUACGUUCCACCCACCUACAACCUUCCUGACCAUCCUCACUUCCGCUGGGCCCAGCAGUACCCGUCAGGUCGCUCUUUGACAGAGAUGGAGGUGAUGCAGUUCCUGGAUCGGGGCCUCCGCCUGCAGCCCUCCGCCCAAGCACUUAUCUACUUCCGGGAUUCCAGCUUCCUCAGCUCUGUGCCAGAUCCCUGGAAACCUGACUUUACUCCUGAGUCCAAAGAGGCUGUACAUCGGAUCUCAGAACUGAAGAGCUACCUGAGUAAACAGAAAGGGGUUACCUGUCACAGAUACCCCUGUGAGUGGGGGGGUGUGGCCGCCGGCCUGCCCUAUGUUGCGGGGCUGGAGGAGUUCGGGCAGCUGGUUCUGCAGGAUGUAUGGAGUGUGAUCCAGAAGCUUUACUUACAGCCCAGGGCCCAGCCGGAGCAGCCGGAGCAGCCGGCAUCCAUCCCAGAUGAUGACGUGGUCCAGGCCAGCUUCCAGCAGCUGCAGUGCCCACCAAGUUCCGCCCGACCUCGCCUUCUCCAGGACACAGUGCAGCAGCUGCUGCUGCCCCGAGGGAGGCUGAGCCUGGUGACCGGGCAGCCGGGACAGGGCAAGACCACUUUCCUGGCAUCCCUGGUGACAGCCUUGCAGGUCGCUGAUGGGGCCAAGGCAGCCCCCUUAGUCUUCUUCCACUUCUCAGGAGCUCGCCCUGACCAGGGUCUUGCCCUCACCCUGCUCAGACGCCUCUGUGCCUAUCUGCAUAGGCAACUGCAAGAGCCGAGUGCCCUCCCCAGGACCUACCGGGGCCUGGUGUGGGAGCUGCAGCAGAGGCUGCUGCCCAAGUCUGCACAGUCCCUGCCGUCUGGCCAGAGCCUGGUGCUGAUCAUCGAUGGGGCUGACAGGGUGGUGGACCAGCAUGGGCGGCCCAUCUCAGACUGGAUCCCAAAGACCCUCCCCCGGUCGGUGCACCUGGUGCUGAGUGUGUCUAGUGACUCGAGCCUGGGGGAGACCCUGGAGCAGAGCCAAGGGGCCCAUGUGGUGGCCCUGGGGCCUCUGGAUCCCUCUGCACGGGCCCGGCUGGUGAGAGAGGAGCUGGCUCUGUACGCGAAGCGGCUGGAUGAGUCGCCUUUUAACAACCAGAUGCGGCUGCUGCUGGUGAAGCGGGGGUCAGCCCUGCCUCUCUACCUGCGCUUGGUCACCGAUCACCUGAGGCUCUUCACACUCUACGAGCAGGUGUCCGAGAGACUUCGGACCCUGCCAGCCACUGUCCCCCUGCUGCUGCAGUACAUCCUGGGCACCCUGGAGAAGGAGCAUGACCCUAACAUACUGUGCCAAGCCUUGGCCACCCUUGGGGUCACACGUAGCGGUCUCACUGUGGACCAGCUGCACGGAGUGCUGAGUGCAUGGAAGGUUCUUCCUAGAGGGACCAAGACCUGGGAAGAAGCGGUGGCUGCUGGGAACAGGGGGGACCCCUACCCUAUGGGGCCAUUUGCCUACCUCGUCCAGAGUCUGCGCAGUUUGCUAGGGGAGGGCCCCCUGGAGCGGCCUGGGGCCCGGCUCUGCCUCCCUGCCGGGCCCCUGAGGACAGCAGUUAAAGGUCGGUAUGGGAAGAGGCUGGAGCUGGAGAGCACAGCACACGUCCUCAUAGCAGCUCAGCUCUGGAAGACCUGCGACCCCGAUGCCUCAGGCACCUUCCGCUCUUGCCCCCCUGAGGCUCUGGAGGACCUGCCUUACCACCUGCUCCAGAGCAGGAACCGUGGCCUUCUGGCGAAGUUCCUCACCAACCUCCACGUGGUGGCUGCACACCUGGAACUGGGUCUGCUCCCUCGGCUUCUGGAAGCCCAUGCCCUCUACGCUUCCUCAGUACCUGAAGAGGAACAGCAGCUUCCCGAGGCUGACAUCGCUGCAUUCCACACGUUCCUGAAGCAGCAGGCUCCAGUCCUCAGUCAGUACCCCCUGCUCCUGCCUCAGCAGGCAGCCAACCAGCCCCUGGACUCGCCUGUUUGCCGCCAGGCCCCCCAGCUCUCCCAGCGGUGGCACCUCCAGCGCAUGCUAAAAUGGCUUAACAAACCCCACACCAUGGAGGGCCAGCAGAGCUCCAGCCUGUCCCUGGCAGUUUCCUCAUCCCCCACAGCAGUGGCCUUCUCCCCCAGUGGGCACAGAGCCGCCGUGGGCACUGCCAGUGGGACGGUUUACCUGUUGGACCUGAGAACCUGGCAGGAGGAGAAGUCUCUGGUAAGCGGCUGUGACGGGGUCUCCUCUUGUUCGUUCCUCUCGGACAAUUCCCUCUUUCUUACUGCCUUCGACGGGCUCCUGGAGCUCUGGGACCUGCAGCAUGGCUGUCGGGUGCUGCAGACCAAGGCUCACCAGUACCAAAUUACCAGCUGUUGCCUGAGCCCGGACCGCCGGCUGCUGGCCACUGUGUGCCUAGGGGGGUGCCUAAAGCUGUGGGACACAGUCCACGGGCAGCUGGCCUCCCAGCACACGGCUCCCAAGCCCGUGAACUGUGUUGCUUUUCACCCAGAGGGGCAGGUGCUAGCCAUCGGCAGCUGGGCUGGCAGCUGCAGCUUCUUCCAGGCGGAUGGACUCAGGGUGAUCAAGGAACUGGGAGCCCCGGGAGCCUCUGUCCGCACCGUGGCCUUCAAUGUGCCUGGGCGGGUGGUGACCGUGGGCCGGCUGGACAGGAUGGUGGAGCUGUGGGCCUGGCAGGAGGGGGCGCUGCUGGCUGCCUUCCCUGCCCACCAUGGCUUUGUGGUGGCUGCCCUUUUCCUGCGAGCUGGGAGCCAGUUACUGACAGCUGGAGAGGACGGCAAGGUUCAGGUGUGGUCCGGGUCUCCGGGUCGGCCCCGUGGGUCCCUGGGCUCCCUUUCUCUCUCUCCGGCCCUCGCCGUGGCUCUCAGCCCAGAUGGUCGUCAGGUGGCUGUUGGAUACCGAGCCGAUGGCAUCAGGAUCUACAAAGUAUCUUCAGGUUCUCAGGGGGCUCAGUGUCAGGCACUGGAUGUGGCAGUGACGGCACUGGCCUGGCUGAGCCCAGAGGUGUUGGUGAGUGGUGCGGAAGAUGGCUCCCUGCACGGCUGGGCCCUCCAGGAGAGCGCCUUUCAGUCCCUCUGGCUCAUGUCCAGACACCAGAAACCUGUGCUGGGCCUGGCCUCCUCCCAGGAACUCUUGGCUUCUGCCUCAGAGGAUUCCGCAGUGCGGCUGUGGCCACGGCAGUUGCUGACACUGCCACAAAAGGCGGAACACUUACCCCGUGCCACCGAACUGUGGGGACAUACGGGCCCCGUCAACUGCUGUAGCUUCAGCACUGAUGGGUGCCGCCUGGCCACCGGGGGCCGGGAUCGGAGUCUCCUCUGCUGGGAUGUGAGGACACCCACAGCCCCUGUGCUGAUUCACUCCUUUUCUGCCUGUCACCGUGACUGGGUCACUGGCUGCGCCUGGACCAAAGACAACUGGCUGAUCUCCUGCUCCAGCGAUGGCUCUGUGGGGCUGUGGGACCCAGAAUUGGGACAGCAGCUUGGUCAGUUCCUGGGUCAUCAGAGUGCCGUCAGCGCCGUAGUGGCCGUGGAGGAGCAUGUGGUGUCUGUGGGCCGGGAUGGAACCUUGAAAGUGUGGGACCAUCAGGGAGUGGAGCUGACCAGCAUCCCUGCUCACUCAGGACCCAUCAGCCAUUGUGCAGCUGCUCUGGAGCCCCGUGCAGCUUGCCAGCCUGGGUCAGAGCUUCUGGUGGUGACUGCUGGACUGGAUGGGCUCACACGGUUGUGGCAUCCGCUCUUGGUGUUUCAAACACAUACCCUGCUGGGACACAGUGGCCCAAUCAAUGCAGCAGCUGUUUCAGAGGCCUCAGGCCUCCUGCUGACCUCCUCGGAGGAUGGUUCCAUUCGGCUCUGGCAGGUACUGGAGGAAGCAGAUGAGGCAAAUAUACCUAGGAAUCCUGCAGCCAUCACAGCUGUGGCCUGGGCCCCAGAUGGUUCUGUGGCAGUGUCUGGGAAUCAGGCUGGAGAACUAACCUUAUGGCAAGAAGCUAAGGCGGUGGCCACAGUACAGGCUCCUGGCCGCAUCAGUGCCCUAGUCUGGUCCUCGGCAAACACCUUGGUCGUUGUCAGUGCUGAUGAAAAAGUCAGCGAGUGGCAAGUGGAACUGCAGAGGGAUUCAACACCCAGAACUUUCAGUCUCCGCCUGAACCGAGUUCUGCAGGAGAACUUAGGGUUCCUGACAGGUGUGGGCCUGGCCCCUGAUGGCCACUCCCUCAUCUUGGCUACGGCGGAUAUGAAGUUAUUGCACUUGAAGCCAGGGGAAGCUCCCUCUGAAAUCUGGCACGACUACUCAGAACAUCCUAUGAUGCUCUCCACCCACCAGGACUAUGGUGUGUUUGCCCUGCAGCCAACGGCCCCCGGAAGUCUUUCUGUCUUAAGGCAAAAGGAGUCUGGAGAGUUUGAAGAGCGCCUGGACUUUGAUCUGAAUUUAAAGAAUCCCAAUGGGACCCUAAUAUCAGUAACUCAGGCCAAACCUGAAUCUGAGUCCUCCUAUUUGUGUGCCAGCUCCGAUGGGAUGCUGUGGAACCUAGCCAAACGCACCUUUGAAGGAGAAUGGACCACAGGUAACAUCUGGCAGGAAACAGUACAAACACCUGAAAGCCAAACUACAGAAAUAGACUCAUCUGAGAGUAGUGACAUGGAGAGCUGGCCAACAACCCCAAGUCUAAAGACACGGCAGCGUAAAAAGAUUCACUCAGGCUCUGUCACGGCCCUCCAUGUGCUGCCUGAGUUGUUGGUGACAGCUUCGAAGGACAGAGAUGUUAAGCUGUGGGAGAGGCCCAGCAUGCAACUGCUGGGCCUGUUCCGGUGCGAAGGGGCAGUGAGCUGUCUGGAACCUUGGCUGGGGCCUGACUCUGCCCUGCAGCUUGCAGUGGGAGACACACAGGGCAAUGUAUACUUUCUGUCCUGGGAAUGAAGAUGCAUUACUCAGGGCAGCGGUACCAUCUGUGCUAGAGGUGCAAGCCUGAAGACACCGGUGGAAACUUUCUUGAUAAAAUUAUAAAAAUAAAGUAUCAAGAAAUUUCAAGU